AUUGAACGCUGGCGGCAGGCCUAACACAUGCAAGUCGAACGGUAGCACAGAGAGCUUGCUCUCGGGUGACGAGUGGCGGACGGGUGAGUAACGUCUGGGAAACUGCCCGAUGGAGGGGGAUAACUACUGGAAACGGUAGCUAAUACCGCAUAACGUCGCAAGACCAAAGUGGGGGACCUUCGGGCCUCACACCAUCGGAUGUGCCCAGAUGGGAUUAGCUAGUAGGUGGGGUAAUGGCUCACCUAGGCGACGAUCCCUAGCUGGUCUGAGAGGAUGACCAGCCACACUGGAACUGAGACACGGUCCAGACUCCUACGGGAGGCAGCAGUGGGGAAUAUUGCACAAUGGGCGCAAGCCUGAUGCAGCCAUGCCGCGUGUAUGAAGAGGGCCUUCGGGUUGUAAAGUACUUUCAGCGGGGAGGAAGGCGGUGAAGUUAAUAGCUUCACCGAUUGACGUUACCCGCAGAAGAAGCACCGGCUAACUCCGUGCCAGCCGCCGCGGUAA
rnacentral:rRNA from 1 species